rnacentral:rRNA from 1 species
AUGAUGGUUAAUUAUAUAUUUUAUAUUAUAAUAAUGCAGAUGAAUCGGCAAUGGAUGUACGGUAACCGACUCUCCCGCGAGUUCACUACGGGUUUGAAAGAUUUCCUCGUAGUGGCUAAUGCGAACAAGCAGAAGGGUUUUGUUAUCUGUCCAUGUGUUGACUGUAAGAAUCAGAAGGGUUACUCUUCCUCAAGAGAAGUUCACCUGCACCUGCUUCGGCACGGUUUCAUGCCAAGCUAUAAUUUUUGGACCAAGCAUGGAGAAAGAGGGGUUAUAAUGGAAGAAGAUGAAGAAGGGGAUGAUUUCAUCGAUGAAAGCUAUCUUGCUCAUUUAGGUGAUACUUUCAUGGAGGAUGCUGAAGGUGAAGGGGAAGGUGAAGGGGCAGGUGAAGGGGAAGGUGAAGGGGAAGGUGAAGGUGAAGGUGAAGAAGAGGCACGUGAUGAGACCGUUGAUGAUCUUGGUCGGACCAUUGCUGAUGCACGGAGACGUUGCGAAACUGAAAAGGAGAGGGAGAAUUUGGAUCGCAUGUUAGAGGAUCACAGAAAUUCGUUGUACCCUGGAUGCGAUGAUGGUCUGAAAAAG